UCCGGUUUGUCACCGGCAGUCACCUUAGAGUGCCCAACUGAAUGCUGGCAACUAAGAUCAAGGGUUGCGCUCGUUGCGGGACUUAACCCAACAUCUCACGACACGAGCUGACGACAACCAUGCACCACCUGUCACUCUGUCCCCCGAAGGGGAACGCUCUGUCUCCAGAGUUGUCAGAGGAUGUCAAGACCUGGUAAGGUUCUUCGCGUUGCUUCGAAUUAAACCACAUGCUCCACCGCUUGUGCGGGCCCCCGUCAAUUCCUUUGAGUUUCAACCUUGCGGUCGUACUCCCCAGGCGGAGUGCUUAAUGCGUUAGCUGCAGCACUAAGGGGCGGAAACCCCCUAACACUUAGCACUCAUCGUUUACGGCGUGGACUAC
rnacentral:misc_RNA from 1 species